CAAGUCGAACGCGAAAGUUCCCUUCGGGGAGCGAGUAGAGUGGCGCACGGGUGAGUAACACGUAGGUAAUCUACCUUUGGAUUGGGAAUAACAACCGGAAACGGUUGCUAAUACCGAAUAAUGCAGCGGCACCUAAUGGUGACAGUUGUUAAAGCGGGGGAUCGCAAGACCUCGCGUCUGAAGAGGAGCCUGCGGCGGAUUAGCUAGUUGGUAAGGUAAUGGCUUACCAAGGCGAUGAUCCGUAGCCGGCCUGAGAGGGCGGUCGGCCACACUGACACUGACAUACGGGUCAGACUCCUACGGGAGGCAGCAGUCGGGAAUUUUGGGCAAUGGGCGAAAGCCUGACCCAGCAACGCCGCGUGAAGGAUGAAAUCCCUCGGGAUGUAAACUUCGCAAGAACGGGAAGAAUAAGUAGGAGCUAACAUCUCUUACGAUGACGGUACUGUUUGUAAGCUCCGGCUAACUCCGUGCCAGCAGCCGCGGUAAUACGGGGGGAGCAAGCGUUGUUCGGAUUUACUGGGCGUAAAGGGCGCGUAGGCGGCCACUGCAAGUCAGUUGUGAAAUCUCCGGGCUUAACCCGGAAAGGUCAACUGAUACUGCAGGGCUAGAGUGCAGAAGGGGCAACUGGAAUUCUCGGUGUAGCGGUGAAAUGCGUAGAUAUCGAGAGGAACACCUGCGGCGAAGGCGGGUUGCUGGGCUGACACUGACGCUGAUGUGCGAAAGCCAGGGGAGCGAACGGGAUUAGAUACCCCGGUAGUCCUGGCCUUAAACGAUGAAUGCUUGGUGUCUGGGGUUUUAUAGUCCCCGGGUGCCGUCGCUAACGCUUUAAGCAUUCCGCCUGGGGAGUACGGUC
rnacentral:rRNA from 1 species